AUUGAACGCUGGCGGCAUGCUUUACACAUGCAAGUCGAACGGUAACAGCACUUCGGUGGCUGACGAGUGGCGAACGGGUGAGUAAUACAUCGGAACGUGCCUAGUAGUGGGGGAUAACUACUCGAAAGAGGAGCUAAUACCGCAUGAGAUCUAAGGAUGAAAGCAGGGGACCUUCGGGCCUUGCGCUACUAGAGCGGCUGAUGGCAGAUUAGGUAGUUGGUGGGAUAAAAGCUUACCAAGCCGACGAUCUGUAGCUGGUCUGAGAGGACGACCAGCCACACUGGAACUGAGACACGGCCCAGACUCCUACGGGAGGCAGCAGUGGGGAAUUUUGGACAAUGGGCGCAAGCCUGAUCCAGCAAUGCCGCGUGCAGGAUGAAGGCCUUCGGGUUGUAAACUGCUUUUGUACGGAACGAAAAGCCCUCUUCUAAUACAGGAGGGUCAUGACGGUACCGAAAGAAUAAGCACCGGCUAACUACGUG
rnacentral:rRNA from 1 species